rnacentral:rRNA from 1 species
GUAAAGUACUUUCAGCAGUGAGGAAGGUGGUGCAGUUAAUAGCUGUAUCAUUUGACGUUAGCUGCAGAAGAAGCACCGGGCUAACUCCGUGCCAGCAGCCGCGGUAAUACCGGAGGGUGCGAGCGUUAAUCGGAAUUACUGGGCGUAAAGCGCAUGCAGGUGGUUUGUUAAGUCAGAUGUGAAAGCCCCGGGGCUCAACCUCGGAAUUGCAUUUGAAACUGGCAGACUAGAGUACUGUAGAGGGGGUAGAAUUUCAGGUGUAGCGGUGAAAUGCGUAGAGAUCUGAAGGAAUACCGGUGGCGAAGGCGGCCCCCUGGACAGAUACUGACACUCAGAUGCGAAAGCGUGGGGAGCAAACAGGAUUAGAUACCCUGUAG